AGGGUGGAUAACAAGCCACGUUAACCAUUGUAUUUUAUCGAUUCUUGAUUGCAUGCUAUUUAACAUGCAUGUGCUCCAAGAUUUACUCCAGUUCACUUGGACCUGGUGCAUCCAAUUUCACCUUAAUUUUUCCUGAUUAUUCUCUUCAAUCGCUUAAGCCUCCACCCGACGAAACUCUUUCACAUUUCUCAUGGAAACCCUAGCAUCCGUGCUUCCCUAUUCAGCCGCUGCAAGCUUCCCACCGGAUUGAGACUCUUAGACAGAGAAAACAUAGGAAAAAUCAG
rnacentral:lncRNA from 1 species